rnacentral:lncRNA from 1 species
CGCUAGCAUAGCCCCAGAUCGCCCUCCCGUCUCAGUCGCGGCCUCCCCUCAGCCUCCUCUACUCUCGUGGGUGCCCAGCCCAUGCCCUGGUCGUCCCUCCACCGUGUGUGGUCGUGCCCAUCGCGCCUUUGGCCCGCUGGCAUCCGGCAUCCGCACGCCCUAGCCAUGCGCACCGCACCGGCCUGGCUGCCAUGGCCUCGCCCCGGCCGAUCCCGUUUGGCUAGGGAUUAACUCCCCAUGUGCGUGUGUGAUUUGGGGGCAGUUUUGCCACCCCCUGCCCCCGCACUGAAUGAUGGGUGGGCGCAAGCCCCCCUAAACAAAU